ACUUUCUAGCUGAACACUCAGCUUCAUCCACUCCAGGACAGCUGAGCGUCUGGAUGGUGUCUCACCCUGUUGCCCAGGCUGGAAUACAGUGGCACGAUCCUGGCUCACUGCAAUCUCCAUCUCCCGGGUUCAAGCGAUUCUCCUGCCUCAGCCUCUCAAGUAGCUGGGAUUACAGGGCUUCAGAAGCUGAUGGCAUAGUUAUGAGAGGGGUGAAGACUGCGACUGCAUUUCCAACAGACCCUGAGGACAAUUGGGAAGAAUGCGCUGAAUAUUUUUGAGCAAUUUCUAUAUGAUAAGCAGUUUUUAGGGCAAGUAUAGGUUGCACUGAUCCUGACCUUUUGGCCUGAGGAUGGAAGUCUUCAGUAUCUGUACAACUUUACUCCCAAGAGCUGGUGUAGAAUGAGUUCCUCUGGCCAUGGGAGGAUCGCAGAGGGGCACCUGCCACCAGCAGCCCAGCCUCAGCACUUUUCUCUUCAGCGUCUUCUUCAAGGUAUUUCCAGUUGCCCGCCCUGAACUGUUUCAGAAUGAGGAGGACACCUGGAGGAAUCUACACGUGCAUAGACCAAUUUGCAAAAGAACCUGUGAGCCAACAUUAUUACCUCAGCUGGAAGAAUUAAUAAGCAACACGUUCACCCAAGAAGUAUUUACUGAGCACCUACUAUGUGCAUUAUUUUCUGGUGUUGGGGCUAGGGGGCAAACGACUCUGACAAGUCUCUGUUCUCAAGGCUGGAGUGCAGCGGCGCGAUCUCGGCUCACUGCAAGCUCCGCCUCCCGGGUUCACGCCAUUCUCCUGCCUCAGCCUCCCGAGUAGCUGGGACUACAGGCGCCCGCAACCACGCCCGGCUAAUUUUUUGUAUUUUUAGUAGAGAUGGGGUUUCACCAUGUUAGUCAGGAUGGUCUCGAUUUCCUGACCUUGUGAUCCGCCCGCCCCCGCCUCCCAAAGUGCUGGGAUUACAGGCGUGAGCCACCGCGCCCGGCCGUAGUUUACAUUUUCUAAAGCGUACUCUGCCAGCCAAGUGGCAAACAGACUUGGGCCUCUUAAGAGUGGAAGCAGGAGGAAACCCGAAGAUCCUGGAGAGAGACUGGUGGCUGGUACCAGUGGAGAGGGAGCAAAAAGGAAAAUACAGGAUACAAUUUCAGGAAAAAUUUCAUACCAAUUUCCUGAGGUAAUUUCUGAACUCGAACAUUUUCAGUGUCACCACAUUGUGUUUCCUGCUGAAUCAAGUCUACAUCACUUCGGUUUUUAAAGCCUUCCACGAUCCUUCCCUGAACACUGUAGUUUUCACUGAUGGUUGGCUGUUUCAAACUCCCAUAUGAUCCAUACUGUAUCAUUAAUAAGCAAGCAAGGAAUAACACACCCUCUGCUAUUCUGUGCAGUGUUUCAGGUUUUUAGUUUUCUCUUUCAAGAUAGAAAAUCCCUUUAGAGUAGGAACUCGGCUGGCACUUUCUUUCACAUCCUGCAUAGCACUUAGCAAAGUUCUGUACACAGGGCACAUGUGGAAAUUGCUUAUUGAUUGAUUAAAAGCAUAUAUCACUGGCAUUUGUAUCUUCAGUAUUUCUCUUGUAUGAAGAAGGGUGAUUAUCUGUCAAUAUUCAUUGCAUCAUUGAACCAAUGUACAAUGCAUUAAUCAUCACUGAAGAUAACCAGAUGAGGCUUUAUUGUAAUCUCCUUCUAUUUUGCUGAGAUAAUUUCACUUGCUUUAGAGUUUAUGAGGCCAUAAGUGGCUCCCAUCUGUUGAUGAACAUAUUUCUAAGAGUCAUUUAGUCUCAAGUAUGGAAUACUUGAGGGGAAGUUAAAUUGUAACUUUUAUAUUAAGUGUCAUCUUAGUAACAGAACCAAAAUUGGAAGCAUGUGUUCAAUUUUGGUUUUUCAUUUUCAAAGCUUUAGGUCAGGCAAAGAAUUAAUUUCAUUUGUUUACAAAGUAGAUUAUGCCUAAUAAAAUCUAUUUUGUUUAUGGUCACAUUUUAAUCAAUCCACUGCUUUAGAAAAUGAGAGAAUUCUGAUUGGCUAAUCAUUCAACAUAGUAAAUUACAUUAUUCCACAUCCACAGAACACUGGCCUAAUUGCAUUAUCCAGUAAUGAUAAAAAUAUUCCUUUUAAUACAUUUUGAGCAAGGCAUAUACCAGUGAUGAAACAGGGAAGAAUCUUGUUUAUUCCAUCCUUGUUUGAUGAUCGACCACAGAAUAUAACAUAACACUUCUGUGUAUAAGAAUUUUUUCAACAUUAAGGAUAAUAAGGACAAGGUAGUUUUCACUGGAUCCUUACUGGUACUCUGAAUUUUCACUAUUUGUCCGCAUUUCUUCUCCUUCCCGGAAAUUUGUUUUCUGCGAAAAACAAGUGCUACUUUGUCAAAUAAAGCUUAAAUAAAAUUGGUUUCAAUUUAUGCAUAAU